AGAGAAGGCAGAGGGGGACCGGUGAACAGCAACCUCCACACAAGAGUCAGGGAAGGAGACAAAACUGCCUCAGCCUGGGGUGGGGCAGGUGUGUGCCCAGACAGAGUCAGGGAAGAAAGACCUGAAGCAAGGAAUCCUCAGGUGCCUGCAGAGGCUGCUGGGUCGAAAACAAUGGAACUGGGCGCGUGUCUUGUAAGUGAACCGCCACCAGCUGCUUUUGUUAUCCGUCCAGGUGCUGGCAGGUGGGUCCCAUGGAACUGGAGUUAUAGUUUGUGAACUGCCCAUCAUCAGUGCUGAAGUCUCUGCCAGAGCGACGAUCACCCCUAACUGAACUCCAGUCUCUGCAAGAGCGAGCGACGAUCACCCCGAACCACAGAGUCACCACUCCAGCUCCCCUCAAUUUAUUUUAUAUGGUAUAAGAAGUUCUGUCAAAUUUUUGCUUUUUCCUGGCACAUGGCUUGUGCUAUCAAUAACAUAUUCCAUAUGCCACUGGAUUAAUAAUAAGCCUAUUUAAUCAUAACUAGUUCUCAUGGGAUCUAGAUCUAUUUACGGAUUAUCUAUUUACGGUUUUCUGUCUCUGCCUGUGCCAGUAUGGUAAUGACUUUAUUUAGGUGAACUCAUGUCUUUUGGUAUCUGUUAAAGGCAGACUCCCUUCAUUCUUCACCUAUUCUUUUUCUCUUCAUCCUCCUCCUCCUCCUUUCUAGACAGGCUCUCUCUAAACAGUUGUAGCUGUUCUGGAACUCUCUAUUUAGACUGGGCUGGCCUUGAACUCACAUAGAACUACUUGCCUCUGUAUCCCAAGUUCUGAGAUUAAAGGUGUAUGCCACCAUA